UACGAAGGGGGCUAGCGUUGUUCGGAUUUACUGGGCGUAAAGCGCACGUAGGCGGAUUGUUAAGUCAGAGGUGAAAUCCUGGAGCUCAACUCCAGAACUGCCUUUGAUACUGGCCAUCUAGAGUCCGGAAGAGGUGAGUGGAACUCCUAGUGUAGAGGUGGAAUUCGUAGAUAUUAGGAAGAACACCAGUGGCGAAGGCG
rnacentral:rRNA from 1 species